GACGAACGCUGGCGGCGUGCUUAACACAUGCAAGUCGAACGGAAAGGCCCCUUUGGGGGUACUCGAGUGGCGAACGGGUGCGUAACACGUGAGUAACCUGCCCUUGACUUCGGGAUAACUUCAGGAAACUGGGGCUAAUACCGGAUAGGAAUCCUUGCUGCAUGGUGGGGGUUGGAAAGCUUCGGCGGUUUUGGAUGGACUCGCGGCUUAUCAGCUUGUUGGUGGGGUAGUGGCUUACCAAGGCUUUGACGGGUAGCCGGCCUGAGAGGGCGACCGGCCACAUUGGGACUGAGAUACGGCCCAGACUCCUACGGGAGGCAGCAGUGGGGAAUAUUGCACAAUGGGCGGAAGCCUGAUGCAGCAACGCCGCGUGCGGGAUGACGGCCUUCGGGUUGUAAACCGCUUUCAGCAGGGGUGAAGCUUGUGGUGACGGUACCUGCAGAAGAAGCACCGGCUAACUACGUG
rnacentral:rRNA from 1 species